AAAAAUACAAUAAAAUAAUUACAAUUUUUUAUUUUAAAUAAUAAAUUAAAUAAUAAGUACCCAAAUUUUAAGUAGAGGAUAGUGGUAUCCGACUAGUUCGUCAGCCCUCAUUUUAUGUACGACUCAUCCAACCGAACCGACCCCAAAGCCUGGAGAUUCUCUGUCCACUCCUCAUAUAUUUCAUCUUUUUCAGGUUUUCAUAUAUGCUUUCUUAUUUUAUUUUAAUUUUAUCAAUAUAUAUGCUUUCUUGAAAUAUGCGAAACGAGACCAAAAAGCAUAUAACGGCAAAUCAAAUCUUCAUCGCAAAAACUUUCAAAAUUCCAAAUGAUUAUUCUGGAUUUCCCCCCUUUCCUUCCUUCACCUUUUCAUCACGUGGAGUCCGUCAAAAACCCAAAAAUGAAUUACUCCUAGUUAACAUUAUUUAAAGGAUUAUCCGCGUAUAAAUACAUAAUUUUGAGGAGAAUUAACACAUUAAAUUUUGAAAGAAGUAAAAAAUACAUAAAUUUUGAAAGAAGUAAAAAAUACAUAAAUUUUAGUAUUAUAUUAAUUUUAUCAUAAAUUUAAUUUUUAGAUAUUCAAACUUUAUGAAAAUCCUACUAUUUGUAAGUUUAAUGUUUGUAAAUCCUCUCAAAACAAUGUUGUUUAGAGAUGACCUAUAGAAAAAAAAGAUGACCUAUAUAAUGUUGUUUUUAAAACAUCCAAGAAGUACACAUCGACAUUCCGUUAAUUUGAGCGAAAAUUGAAUUUAUAGUAGAAUUGUUACAAUAUUAAAAUUCAUGUAUUUUAAUUCAUUUCAAAGUUUAUAUGCAAAAUCAAACUAUCCCCAAAUUUUGAUAUAUGUAAAUGCUAAUAACCCUUCAUAGUGUUAUACUACUCCACAACAUGCAAAAAAGAAAAGAAAAUUGCAAGUAGCGGUGACGAACAAAAAAAUUGCGAAGAUUUCAAGAAUCAUUUAUAAUUAGAAAAAGUAUUGAAGAUUUGAACACUACUCCUUCUUUCCUCAAUCCUCAAAAUACAGAUCACUAGAUCAGAACAGAGCCAUAUAACAUACAUAUUCUCCAAUCAAUCUACACCUUCACAUUUGCAAACUACACAAAUUAACACAAAUUGCCCCCACCCCCCUCAAAAAAAAAAAAAACAAAAAAACAAAAAAAACAAAUAUCAGAUUGAAUUAACUAUUAAGCUCCUAAUGAACAGCCAAAAUUUAUUUCCAAUUAGCAAUUUGUUUUUUAGAAAAAAAAAAGAAAAAAAAACUCAUAGAUUCUUACAGGCGUAGAUGAUGAAUGAGAAAUCGAGCUUAUCCUGAUCCUUGCGCAUCAUCUUCUCCUCCAACCACAAUCUGCUAUCCAUCCCGCUUCUAGUCCUGAACAUAAACACCGCAUAUCCCGGGCCGG
rnacentral:lncRNA from 1 species